rnacentral:rRNA from 1 species
AUUGAACGCUGGCGGCAGGCCUAACACAUGCAAGUCGCACGAGUGGCGGACGGGUGAGUAAUGUCUGGGAAACUGCCUGAUGGAGGGGGCUAACUACUGGAAACGGUAUCUAAUACCGCAUACCAUCGGAUGUGCCCCGAUGGGAUUAGCUUGUUGGUGGGGUAACGGCUCACCAAGGCGACGAUCCCUAGCUGGUCUGAGAGGAUGACCAGCCACACUGUAACUGAAACACGGUCAAGACUCCUACGGGAGGCAGCAGUGGGGAAUAUUGCACAAUGGGCGCAAGCCUGAUGCAGCCAUGCAGCGUGUAUGAAGAAGGCCUUCGGGUUGUAAAGUACUUUCAGCGGGGAGGCGUUACCAGCAGAAGAAGCACCGGCUAACUCCGUGCCAGCAGCCGCGGUAAUUC